GACUCCUUUGGCCAACAGCUCAAUUAGAUGUAAGCCAGUCCCAGGGCUGAAAGUUUCGUUUGGUGGCAAGAGAUGGCCAGUUGUGGCUCUGUGUCCCUCAUUACUUGGUGAUUUCGUCUAGGUCACCUUCAUCAUGCCCUUUCGUGUGUAAAGAGAACAUCUUGUGUCUGUGUGGAUGUGGCACCUGUCAAUAAUAAAUCUGAUGGCCUAUGGCUUAAGCAAUAAAUAGGAGGUGGGACAUCCAGGAGGCAGAAAAGAUCCUGGGAUACUGCCAGGCGGGAGAUUCGCCGGGGAAGAUGUGACAAGAAAGAUGCAUAGUCCCUCGAGCACAGAUUUCCACUUCUACACAUCCCUUCUUUCUGCUUGUUCCUGAGACUACGCCCAGUGACAAGUCCCCAGCGAGCCUGGGGAGCAGAGUGAGCACACAGCAAAGUCGCGGCGAGCAACCUGACCUGGGAACAAAGGGUGUGCAUGCCUGGGAGGAAGACCAGAAAUCGUGCAAACUCCUCAGUGGGAAGAUUGAAGUCAAAGCGAGGUCCACAGGUAAGUGGAGCCCAACUUCAAGUUUAAUGACUGUACCUUAACCAGAAGCCACUGCUUUCAGCACAGGACUGCCUGGCUGUCCUCUAACAGCUACCCAAAUGCACUAGCUUUUAGCUGUUCUGAGAAUUUUCUAAGUGACUUCAAGACAUCACACAUGAAACCAGCCAGGUACAGUGGUUUAAACCUGCAGUCCCAACUACUCCAGAGGCUGUAGCCAGAAGAUUCCUUGAGUCCACUAGUUGGAGGAUAGUCCAGGCACCCUAGCAAUACCCUAACUCAAUUAAAGAAAAGGGGGUGCUGAGAAAUAGCUCAGCAGCACUGAUUGCUUUUCCAGAGGACCUAGGUUCUAUUUCCAGAC